UAUAACUGCAAUAGAAUUCAAUUACUACUCUUGCUUAAACCAAAUCCAAGGAUAAAGGAUAAAUCGCCGUGUGUAAAUACUUUUGACGCUACUACUGCGAGUCUUGUUCAUUUACUUAUAUCUCCGCCAUAUUUCUAGCUAUUCUUGCCAAACUGACUUUAUUCGCUCAGGAAUAGAUCAAGGUUUACAACAACAUAGCAUUUUGUUACCCUGCGACAACAACAACAAGCGAAUGCAUUUUGUGUGAAACUUGUAAAAAACGUCCGAUUUGUAAAUAAUUUUGACUACCUCUGUAUGCACAUAUACAGCUACAAAAUAUAUUUAUAGACAUAUAUAUAUACAUAUCUAUUCAUUCUCAAUUAACAGGAGAUUCUGAAUAUCCUUUGGAACGAUGGUGUUUGACAUUGACACAUUUUUUUGUUAUUAAUAAAAAAUAAAUGUGACUUUCAUUCUAAAAGAAAAAAUAUAAGAUUUUUGGAGGAAGUAUACAAUGAAAACAAUUUGAAAAAUGUCUGGCUUUUGGGAGAUUCUGGAUAUCCUUUGACACCAUUUAGAAACUCCGAAUUUGGCUCGCGCCAAGCACGGUUUAAUUAAAUCCAUUCAAAAGCACGCUGUUUUGUUGAACGCACCAUUGGUAUACUGAAAGGGCGAUGAAAAAUUCUCAGCAAUGAUAAAAUAAGUCGGUAUAGUCCUGAAAAGAUGGCAAUGUUCGGCAAUGUAUGUGCAGCGUUGCAUAACAUAUGCAUGCAAUUUAAAAAUCAACAUAUUGCAGAUAUUUUGUAAACGAAAACAUUGAUACCGAAAUAGAUACGGGAAAUGAGAUUCAAUUAACUAAAAUUAUAUAAUUAAAGACCA